rnacentral:sRNA from 1 species
GCUCAGGUGCUGGGUGCCAGGCCCUCAAGAAGGUGGUGGGGGCUGUGUGUGUGACUGCCGCGUGGGGCUUUCCACGUCCACAUCUGCCCCAGAAGGGCCACAAUCAGCCCUUUGCCUGUCAUCUGGGAGGUCUAGGAUGAGGGCCAGGGCUUAAUGAGUCUCAGCGGCACACACAGUAACCCCAGGCCAGGCACUGAGGGCAGGAGGGUCCUGGGGCCUCAGAGGGGCCUCUGUCUGCCGGGGCAGCCCAGGCCAGCAGUGACCACGGGGCGGGGCAGUGCCGGCUGCACCGAAGUGCCUGGGGGUGGUCCCUGGGCAGGGAGAAGGUAGCAGAGCCCAAAGCCACACCUGCUGCCUCCCUCACCUCCCUCCCCUCCCUCCUCUCCCGACACAGGCUGUCGGCUCCAGGGAGGUUUAAACACUGGCCUUGGCGGCUGAGGGAGGAGGGUGAAGAUGAGGCAGGGGCUGCUGGUGCUGUUGCUGGUGCUGGUGCUAGUGCUGGCUGCAGGGUCCCAGGUGCAGAAGUGGUACCCCAGGGAGUCCCACGCCCUCAACUGGAACAAGGUGAGCCAUGCGCCGCUGGUCCCUGAGCCGGGCGCCGGCCCUGGAGCUGGAGCAGGCUCCUGCACAGUCUCCCGGCAGCCGCCCAGGAGCAGGGCUACCAGGAGUUCCAGGCACGGGCGCUGCGCACCUGGCCUCUCCCACUGCAGCCUCUGGCACAGGGGCCCUGCAAGUUGCAGGGCAAAGGCAGGGAGCCUCGAGGGGGUUCAGGGGGGUCGGGGGGGUCAGGGAGGGUCAGGGUGGAGGGGCCCAGAGCGCUGUGGCCGAGGAGGUCGGGAGACGCCCAGAGUACAGAGUGGGUGUGGAGCAAGCUGGGCAUAUUCUGUAGCGGGAGGGCCCGGGCACCUGCUGAGUAAGCCAUGGGAGCAGCACUCAUUGGCACGGCGGUGCUCAGGGCGCUGGGGUUGGCAGCAGGCAGAGUUGGGGGCCAGGGGCGGGCGGGAAGGGAAGUAGCUGAGCAGUACCCGGCCCCCAGGAGGCCACGUGGAAAGGAGCCGGGGCCUCUGAGGUAGGGGGGCCUCCCACUUGCUGGCACCCACGGCCCAGCCCUGUGCUGCCUGGGGUCCCUGACCAGCCGGGCACCUGCUUCUCUGCGGCCCUGCUCCAGUGGCCAGGGCUUAAGUGGCCGGGACCGAGGCGGCACCUGGGCGAGGCUGGGGCUCCGGCUCACAGAAGGGUCACUUGUCUCCUGGGUUCUCUAGCUGGGAACCUCGGGGGUGGGGACAGCCCCCGGUGGCAGCUCCUGUCCCCACCCACACACCUGCUGCGCAGUUUUCAGGGUUCUGGUACAUUCUGGCCACGGCCACUGACGCCCAGGGAUUCUUGCCAGCCAGGGACAAGAGGAAGCUGGGGGCGUCCGUGGUAAAGGUGAACAAAGUGGGCCAGCUCCGCGUGCUCCUCGCCUUUAGCCGAGGAAGCCGCUUGCAGCCCCUGGGCCCCACACGGGUUGAAGGGGUGCCAGUCCCAGGAGGUGAUCUUGAGGAAAGACGGGAAGAAGCCGGUGUUCAGGAACACCUGUGCGUACACGGCGGGCCCAAGGGAAGGACGGGAGGGAGUGAAAGGGGUGAAGGCCUUCCACGUGCUGUCCACUGACUACAGCUACGGCCUGGUCUACCUCCGCCUGGGGCGUGCGGCCCAAAACUACAAGAACCUGCUGCUCUUCCAUAGAGAGAAUGUUUCGAGCUUCCAGAGUCUGAAGGAAUUCAUGGACGCGUGUGACAUUCUGGGGCUCUCCAAGGCCGCCGUCAUCCUCCCGAAAGAUGCGUCCUGUGCACACACCAUCCUGCCAUGAGAGCCAGCGUCCUCUGCUCUUUCCUUUCGACAUGUGGUCCUCCCAGACCCCAGGAGCGUUGUUCCAGAUGUCAAGUGGAGACCACGGCUUGUUGAGAGGUGUUUGGUAACUCUAGGUCAUUGACAGUGUGAAAAUCAAGUGGCUCAAGGGAUCCUUUAUGAUCACAGAAAGAUGGGGGAAGGAGGAUACAGGCUGACCGGGUGGCGAGAUGUCAGCCAGGCCCCUUCCCCAGUGUCCUCUGGAGCACACUGCAGGCUGCUGCUGUUCCCUGUCUGCUGUGAAAUAGACCACAGGCCGGCCCAACGCAGUCCUCGCUGUGUGCCUUCCCUCUGCCCUCCAGGCCGCCGCCACCCUCUGCGUUCCUUGACAUCCUGCACUUUCUCAGGAAGCCGUUCCCAUAUCCACCCAACAUGGAGGAGCCCCCAUGAUGUGCCAGGCAGCAUGCUGGCCCCUGCGGCUGUGUUAGGGAGCAGAAUUGGCAAACGCAGACCCAGAGUUGAUGCCUGAUCAGAAGAAGCCAACCUCAGCAGCGUGAUCACCUGGAUACUCGAGUAUAGACCCUAGAUCACCUGGAAACUCGAGUAUAGACCCUAGAAGUGUAUCUAGGGGCAGCCAGGGCCCAACAACAGCAGGUCUAACUCAUUCCAUCCAGGGCAGCAUCAGGGAGAGCUUCCUGGGGGAAGUGGCAUUUGUGCUCACCUGGGAAGUGUGGUGGGUGUUAAGUCAGUACGGAUGGGGCUGGAGGAGCAGGGGUGCAUCCCCAGAACAGGACGUGACUUCUGAAAAGACAUCAGAGUGGAGAAAAUGGCUUCUCAAGGAGAUUGGGGAUGCCAGUAUGAGAAUGAUGUUGGGGAGAGCUGCAGAGGAGCGGGAGGGGGCCCACCGGACCAUGGCACCUCGAAGGCUACAGUGAAGGGCUUGGGUCUCACUCAACGGGUGAUGACGGGAGGUUGUCUGAGAUGAACCCCCCAACUGAAUGAAUGGACCCUCUUCUGGCCAAGGGGAUCCCAAAGAAACCCUGAACCCGAGUCCUCAGCCAUGACGGGGUAAGGGGUCAGCCCCUCCUUCUGGCCCGAGAAGAGAUCAGAGAGUGGUUCUGGGCAGUCCGUGGAGAAUUUGCUCAGCUGCACGUGUACACGCUUCUCCUUUCAUCAAUAUUCAUGACUCCUCCUGAAGCUUAUUGAACGUCUAUAUUUGGCCAUCUCCUUCAGCAUAAAUUCCUCUUCCCUCUGCCCCUCCCUCCAAGUGUCUGUUCCAGGCUUCUGGCCCGAGGCUACGCUUCCUAGCCUGUCAGAAGGACUGCCCUGCUGGCUGCAAUCUCUUAUGAGAAAUAAAGUUCUCCUGUGUGCAGAAAAGCA